GAUGAACGCUGGCGGCGUGCCUAAUACAUGCAAGUCGAGCGAACAGACGAUACUCUUGCUGCUUUGAUGUUAGCGGCAGAGGGGUGUAAAACGCGUGGAUAAUCUCCCUAUAUUACUGGGAUAUCUUCGGGACACGGGAGCAUAUACCGUAUAAUAUUUUGAACCGCAUGGUUCAAUGGUAAAUUACGGUCGUGCGGUCACUUCUAGCUGGUUCGCCGCUGCAUUAGCUAGUUGGUGAGGUAACGGCUUACCAAGGCAACGAUGCAUAGCCGAACGGACAGAGUGAUCGGCCACACUGGAGCUGAGACGGCGACCAGGCUCCUGCGGGACGCAGCAGUAGGGAAUCUGACGCGAUGGGGGAAAGCCUGACGGAGCAGCGCGGAGUGAGUGAUGACGAUCUUCGGAGCGUAAAACUCUGUUAUUAGGGAAGAACAUAUGUGUAAGUAACUGUGCACAUCUUGACGGUACCUAAUCAGAAAGCCACGGCUAACUACGUG
rnacentral:rRNA from 1 species